UACGAAGGGGGCUAGCGUUGUUCGGAUUUACUGGGCGUAAAGCGCACGUAGGCGGAUUGUUAAGUCAGGGGUGAAAUCCUGGAACUCAACUCCAGAACUGCCUUUGAUACUGGCAAUCUUGAGUCCGGAAGAGGUGAGUGGAACUCCUAGUGUAGAGGUGGAAUUCGUAGAUAUUAGGAAGAACACCAGUGGCGAAGGCGGCUCACUGGUCCGGUACUGACGCUGAGGUGCGAAAGCGUGGGGAGCAAACAGG
rnacentral:rRNA from 1 species